ensembl:lncRNA
GCUGGAAUGAACUUUAAACUCUAAGUUUAAAGAGUCAAAAUGAAGCCAAGUUCUAAUUGAAAUAAUUAUUUUAAGAUUUUUAAAAAAAUUUUUGUUCUAGUUUACACCAGAUCUUCAAAGUAACAGAAAAAAGUAAUCAAGACUUAGUUACAUCUUAAUUGUUAUUCUUUUGAUAAUUUUUUAAAUAGAAAAGUCAGUACUGAUUAGAUCAUAAUCAAAAUGCUCCCCAGUGCAGCUGUUCUCAUCCAGGAGAAACUUAACCAACUGUUCAUCACUUUUAUUUUCCUUACAUCUCAUAAGGUACUUUGCAAAAACACGGCAUCUAAUAACAGCUAUUGAGCAUUUUUCCUCAUUUCAUUGCUGAUAUUAGAUCUUUGAAUCUUCCUAGCAUUUCCUUGUGGGCUGUAAUAGCCCUAUUUUUACAGGGAGUUUGGGAUGCACAGGUUAGGUAGCUUGCCCAACUACUGCUAGAUAGUGACAAAAUCAGAACUAGAAUCUAUUUUUCUGAAAGUCUAUAAUCUAGUGUUUCUAUCUUAAGAUGAGUUUUUAAAAAAUGAGCAUAAUGGCUUAUAACCAGGGCAACUGGGGGACCAUUUACAGGGUAGAGAGGAAUUGCCAAAGGCCUCUGAGUGUGAGAAACUUUCUGAGGAUUUCACUUUAAAGUGCUUUUGUUUACUUUGCUUUGGGUUUUUUCCUUUGGGGGGUGGAGUUUUGUUUUGUUUUGUUUUGUUUUUUGGGGGGAAGGUGGCUCUGAGGGACUGAUGAGGCCAAGGCCAGUGUAGAGCUAAGUUAUUGGGAACCUAGCUUUUAAGACCUGAUUCUAAGAAAGAGAAGCAGAGUGACUGUAGAGAUACCCUAUCUUAGAAGCCUGGCUUAGUUCAUGAAAUAAGAAGGGAAACUGAGGUUUAAGCAGAUGUUUUAGCCAAGAAGAACUGUUCAUUUGGGUAGAGAUUCUCUCCUGAUAUAGACCUCUGGAUAACUGACCACAGUGGAUAGGACCUAGUGGAUGGGGCAGG